UUUCCUCAGUCGCCUAGAGGCCCCGCUGAGGAGAGGUGUUCAUGCAGAAGUCCAGUAAAGUGAAGUUGCUGUACUGUUUUGUUUUUAUUUUAAACAGUUCUGGGAGAAUAAAUCCACCCAGCUGGCAAAGUGAGAGCUGACUCCUCUGGUCAUUCGCACAACACAAUGCAGAGAACUAACGGCAAUAAGAGUUUAAGGCCAGACCGGCUACACACCCACUGGUUUUCAAUUCACAUUUUACUUUUGAUUCAUUCAUUGAUUAAGU